CAGAUUUGUUGCAAGGUUGUUCCAAUAAGUCCGAUACAGUCAUGAUAUAACAAUAUUGUUACAACCUUGUGUUGUCAAACUUGUAACAUUCUUGUUAUAUCAUGACUGUAUCAGACUUGUUAGAACAACCUUGUAACAUUCUU